rnacentral:rRNA from 1 species
UACAGAGGUCCCGAGCGUUGUUCGGAUUCACUGGGCAUAAAGGGUGCGUAGGCGGUUGGGUAAGUCUGACGUGAAAUCUCCGGGCCUAACCCGGAAACUGCGUUGGAUACUAUCCGGCUAGAGGAAUGGAGGGGAGACUGGAAUACUUGGUGUAGCAGUGAAAUGCGUAGAUAUCAAGUGGAACACCAGUGGCGAAGGCGAGUCUCUGGACAUUUCCUGACGCUGAGGCACGAAAGCCAGGGGAGCAAACGGG